rnacentral:lncRNA from 1 species
GAGGACAAAACAACACUUUUGGCCAGUCUCCGCCUACCUUCACCCAAUCCUCCUUAUCCACAAACACACACCUCACUCAUUCCCCUGUGAACGAUAGCCGGCGGCGCAAUCCUUUUGCUUCCUCUUCCCGUCCUUGGUGGCUGGGCCUUGAGCAUCUCAGCCAUCUGGUCUGCAGCUCCUCCUUGUCCUCCUACUCUAGCGGCAGCUCGCAGAGCCCAAGGGGACGGCGUCGGAUGUAGUGGCGAGACAUGGAUCUCCGCCUCUCCGGCAUCGACGGUGACUCAAUCCGCGGCAUUGGCUGCCGGCGGCGGUUAUGGAGGUGCCCAUCCUCCUGCACAUGCUCAUGUUUUUCUUGCCUCAGACUGCCCAAAUCACUGUGGAGCACGGCGAAACUCGUCCACCGUCGCACUUGACAGCCACUGUGAUGGGUUUCAAUACAAUUCCAUGUUGAAACAAAAAAAAACCCAGGUAUUAUUCAUUGCCUUUAUUCUUACUUUUUUGUUCUGGAGUAGGAGUGUUACUGAAGCAAGUACUACUACCUUAGGAUUACGAAAUCAGUUACCAAAUAAAGCAGGCAAUUUGUUCAUCCCCAUUACUUAUUUUUUUACGUCAGUACAGUUAAACAAAACACUAUCUCAAAAAGGCGCUACCUCAGAAUUACUGUUGAUCGUGAUCACAUCACAUCUCAAAUCGUUCAUAAGUUCCGACCAGUCAUAUCGACCCCAUUCAAAUCGUAAAACACACACUGAAUUGUGGCAUAAUCAUAGUCAAAAUCAGUCAAACGACUGCAAUAGACACUGAAUCUGCUCAGGGGAAAAAAUAAUCAAGGAAACAAAUUGCUAAGGGAAAUAAAGUCUUUAAGUUCAGUUGCAAUUUUUUCUUCAACCCACUGCGUAGAGCCUCAUCUCACUUCGAUUUCACGAAUGUUAUAUCCCCACGAGAGCACAUCAUAUAGGGUUCUCUGCAGUCAGAAUAGCAGCGGUUAGUACAUUCACUCAUACAUAACCAGUGACAUUAAACAUAAUGAAAACAGUGCUCAUGCAAAAUUAUAUUCUCCUACAUUAUCCCAAUGUUCGAACAUUAUAAAGGGCAACAUAUGACAAUUCAAUGAACUAUCCUAAUUCGUUACUGUCUCUUUGUCCACUUCGUCUGAAAGAAAGCAAAAUUCAUAUAAUCUCAGAUAACCCAGAAUGUAAACAAGUAGGAAGCUUACUCUGCCUACACAGUUUCCAUGGGCUGACUCUGGCCUCUCUGAGUCCCUCGCACUUUCUUGAAUUUAGCAAUUAUACAUUCAGGUCGGCUUAGAUUUCCCAGCCACUGUGUCGCUUUCUUGAACAUAGUCUUUAUGCGCUUAAUCACCAUCUGAAAGAGAAAAAAAGAAUCAAAGGACAUAUGUAUGAUACCUUACUACUUUUUAAUUUGAAAUCAUCAGUCGUGAUCAAGAGGCAUUGUACCUCUGUCGGCUGAAAGUAAUUCAGCCAAAUGACCACCGUCAUGCACAAGACGACACAUGCAAAAGGCCAUACAACUGAUUUGGAAACACCUCUACAAACACACAGUGUUAUAAAUGGUGCUGCGCACAACCACAGAAGUAUUAAAAGCUGCACUAUUUGUAGGACUUUGAAUCCAAGAUUUUCAGGCAAUGCUCCCUCCUUGAAGCUUGAAGCAGGACCUAUCAGAAUAAGGCUGAUGAUGGUCACUACAAUGUGUGCUGUGGGAAUGAUGUCCUUCCAAGUGCCAAAAUUUGCAUUUGAGCAAAAUAAAGUCCAAUUAGGAAUGAGAAACCCUGAGCAAGCAAGUGAGGCGAUCGCAGUGUUCAAGACAAAACCAUGCCUACCCUGAGUUCAGACAAAGCAGUAAGAAAAAUUGGCGCAGCUACAGAGCUUUUGGUAUAGUCUAAUGCCAGGGAAAGGAUAAUCACCUUCAUUUUCUUCUCAUUCUCAUCAGAAUCAUUUUCAUCAUCAGGNN